rnacentral:rRNA from 1 species
GUGGCGAACGGGUGAGUAACACGUGAGCAAUCUGCCCUUGACUCUGGGAUAACUGCGGGAAACUGUAGCUAAUACCGGAUAUUACCUUGGAAGGCAUCUUCUGGGGUGGAAAGAAUUUUGGUCAAGGAUGAGCUCGCGGCCUAUCAGCUAGUUGGUGAGGUAAUGGCUCACCAAGGCGACGACGGGUAGCCGGCCUGAGAGGGUGACCGGCCACACUGGGACUGAGACACGGCCCAGACUCCUACGGGAGGCAGCAGUGGGGAAUAUUGCACAAUGGGCGCAAGCCUGAUGCAGCAACGCCGCGUGAGGGACGACGGCCUUCGGGUUGUAAACCUCUUUUAGUAGGGAAGAAGCGACUGGGUUUUCCUGGGAGUGACGGUACCUGCAGAAAAAGCACCGGCUAACUACGUGCCAGCAGCCGCGGUAAUACGUAGGGUGCAAGCGUUGUCCGGAAUUAUUGGGCGUAAAGAGCUCGUAGGCGGUUUGUCGCGUCUGCUGUGAAAACCCGAGGCUCAACCUCGGGCCUGCAGUGGGUACGGGCAGACUAGAGUGCGGUAGGGGAGAUUGGAAUUCCUGGUGUAGCGGUGGAAUGCGCAGAUAUCAGGAGGAACACCAAUGGCGAAGGCAGAUCUCUGGGCCGUAACUGACGCUGA